AGAGUUUGAUCAUGGCUCAGAAUGAACGUUGGCGGCGCGGAUUAGGCAUGCGAGUCGCGCGAGAAUGUAGCAAUACAGGACAGCGGCGAAAGGGAGAGGACAACACGGGAAUCUNCCUUGGGGACGAGGAUAGCGUCGGGAAACUGACAGUAAUACUCGAUAAUGUUUGCGGACCAAAGGUGUGAUUCCGCCCCAAGAUGAGCCCGUGCCCCAUUAGCUAGUUGGCAGGGUAAUGGCCUACCAAGGCUGUGAUGGGUAGCUGGUGUGAGAGCACGACCAGCCUCACUGGCACUGAGACACUGGCCAGACACCUACGGGUGGCUGCAGUCGAGAAUCUUCGGCAAUGGACGCAAGUCUGACCGAGCGACGCCGCGUGCGGGAUGAAGGCCUUCGGGUUGUAAACCGCUGUCGUAGGGAAUCAAAUGUAUGAGGGUACUCCCUUGUAUUUGAGAGAUCCUAGGAGGAAGGAGAGGCUAAGCUCGUGCCAGCAGCCGCGGUAAGACGAGCUCUCCAAACGUUAUUCGGUAUUACUGGGCUUAAAGAGUUCGUAGGCGGCUCUGUAGGUGAGAUGUGAAAGCCCUCGGCUUAACCGAGGAACUGCGUUUCAAACCACAGGGCUUGAGGGAGAUAGGGGUAAGCGGAACAGAUGGUGGAGCGGUGAAAUGCAUUGAUAUCAUCUGGAACACCGGUGGCGAAGGCGGCUUACUGGGUCUUUUCUGACGCUGAGGAACGAAAGCUAGGGUAGCGAACGGGAUUAGAUACCCCGGUAGUCCUAGCCGUAAACGAUGAGCACCAGUCUGAGGGACUCUCACCAGUUUCUCGGACGUAGCGAAAGUGUUAAGUG
rnacentral:rRNA from 1 species